UAGGGAAUCUUCGGCAAUGGACGAAAGUCUGACCGAGCAACGCCGCGUGAGUGAAGAAGGUUUUCGGAUCGUAAAACUCUGUUGUUAGAGAAGAACAAGGACGUUAGUAACUGAACGUCACCUGACGGUAUCUAACCAGAAAGCCACGGCUAACUACGUGCCAGCAGCCGCGGUAAUACGUAGGUGGCAAGCGUUGUCCGGAUUUAUGGGGCGUAAAGCGAGCGCAGGCGGUUUCUUAAGUCUGAUGUGAAAGCCCCCGGCUCAAGCGGGGAGGGUCAGUGGAAACUGGGAGGCUUGAGUGCAGAAGAGGAGAGUGGAAUUCCAUGUGUAGCGGUGAAAUGCGUAGAUAUAUGGAGGAACACCAGUGGCGAAGGCGGCUCUCUGGUCUGUAACUGACGCUGAGGCUCGAAAGCGUGGGGAGCAAACAGG
rnacentral:rRNA from 1 species